GAAUGCGUGGAAGGAUUUGACUGCUUGCAACCACUAGAAAAAAAAUGCUAAAUACAGCACA
rnacentral:ncRNA from 1 species